CGCAUCUGUGCAUGCAGCAUAUCAAUAAGCGGAGGAAAAGAAACUAACAAGGAUUCCCUUAGUAACGGCGAGUGAAGCGGGAAGAGCUCAAAUUUGAAAUCUUCAAGGUUUUACCUUGACGAAUUGUAGUUUAAAGAAGUGUUUUCUGUUGAAGUUUUGGUAAAAGUUCUUUGGAAUAGGACAUCAUAGAGGGUGAGAAUCCCGUAUUUGACCAUUAUUUUCAGCUGUGUGAUACACUUUCAAAGAGUCGGAUUGUUUGGGAAUGCAGUCCAAAAUGGGUGGUAAAUUUCAUCUAAAGCUAAAUAUUGGCGAGAGACCGAUAGCGAACAAGUACCGUGAGGGAAAGAUGAAAAGAACUUUGAAAAGAGAGUUAAACAGUACGUGAAAUUGUCAAAAGGGAAGCGUUUGACACCAGUGUUGUUUUUCCGAAAAUCAAUUACGAAUGGCUUGAUUUUGUGUUGUAUUGACCUUAUCAGCUUUCUUCACUUUUUUCGAGUCUUUCUUAAUGCACUUUUCGGUUAACAAGUCAACAUCAAUUCUUUUGUUGUAAAAGGAGUAUUCGGAAGGUGGCUUUCUUUUCGGAGAAAGUGUUUAUAGCCCUAUACUUCUACAAUCGGAGAGAUUGAGGUCUGCAGCGUAGAUCCUUCGGGGUUAGAUACACUUUGUGCUAAGUUGUAGCUUUUCAUAGACAACUUGUUGACUAUGUUUAGUCAUGCGGCUUACUCGCUUGUGCUAUUUUACCUACGCUUAGGAUGUUGAAGACUCUACAGAGAU
rnacentral:rRNA from 1 species